AAGUCGUAACAAGGUUUCCGUAGGUGAACCUGCGGAAGGAUCAUUAUUGAAAUAAACCUGAUGGGUUGUUGCUGGUUCUCUAGGGAACAUGUGCACGCCUUGUCAUCUUUAUAUCUCCACCUGUGCACCUUUUGUAGACCUUCUAGGUCUAUGUUGCCUUUUCAUUUACCCCAAUGUAUGUUAAUAGAAUGUUGUGACUAUAAAAUCUAUACAACUUUCAGCAACGGAUCUCUUGGCUCUC
rnacentral:misc_RNA from 1 species